rnacentral:lncRNA from 1 species
UUUUUAUUUUUAAUUUUGUCCUGCAUUUUUUUUUAGCUGUAAUCUCUGUCCUGCCUUUUUAUUUUUCACUCUGUUCGGUCCUGCCUUUUUUUUUUAGUUUAUCCUGACUUUUUUUUACCUAAAUUGUCGUCCUGACUUUUUGUUUUUGCAAGUGUCUCAUCCUGCCUUUUUUUUUACUCAAAACUCCUGUCCUGCCUAUUUUUUUCAAAUUUCAUCCUAGCCCCUCCAUAAAAAUCAAAUGGUAGCUCCCUAAAUGAAC